rnacentral:rRNA from 1 species
UACAGAGGGGGCAAGCGUUAUUCGGAAUUAUUGGGCGUAAAGGGCGCGUAGGCGGCUUGGCAAGUGGAAGGUGAAAUCCCUCGGCUUAACCGAGGAACUGCCCUCCAAACUGCUUGGCUUGAGUCCGGGAGAGGUGAGUGGAAUUCCCAGUGUAGCGGUGAAAUGCGUAGAUAUUGGGAGGAACACCAGUGGCGAAGGCGGCUCACUGGACCGGAACUGACGCUGAGGCGCGAAAGCGUGGGGAGCAAACGGG